GGGCUCUUGGCGCAGCUGGUAGCGCGUUCGCUUCGCAUGGUUGCGCAUAUGUUGAUUCUCCAAAUGCUUGCGAAAGGUCGUUGGUUCGAUUCCUACAGUGUCCA